UACGUAGGGUGCGAGCGUUAAUCGGAAUUACUGGGCGUAAAGCGUGCGCAGGCGGUGAUGUAAGACCGAUGUUAAAUCCCCGGGCUUAACCUGGGAACUGCAUUGGUGACUGCAUUGCUCGAGUAUGGCAGAGGGGGGUGGAAUUCCACGUGUAGCAGUGAAAUGCGUAGAUAUGCGGAGGAACACCGAUGGCGAAGGCAAUCCCAUGGACCUGUACUGACGCUCAUGCACGAAAGCGUGGGGAGCAAACAGG
rnacentral:rRNA from 1 species